rnacentral:rRNA from 1 species
UACGUAGGGGGCAAGCGUUGUCCGGAUUUAUUGGGCGUAAAGAGCGUGUAGGCGGCCUGGUAGGUCAGCUGUGAAAACUCGAGGCUCAACCUCGAGACGUCGGUUGAAACCACCUGGCUAGAGUCCGGAAGAGGAGAGUGGAAUUCCCGGUGUAGCGGUGAAAUGCGCAGAUAUCAGGAGGAACACCCGUGGCGAAAGCGGCUCUCUGGGACGGUACUGACGCUGAGACGCGAAAGCGUGGGGAGCGAACAGG